CUACAAUAGGUGGGUACAAAGAGAAGCCAACUCGCGAGAGCGCGCCAAUCUCAAAAAGCCAUCCUCAGUUCGGAUUGGAGUCUGCAACUCGACUCCAUGAAGUUGGAAUCGCUAGUAAUCGCGGAUCAGCAUGCCGCGGUGAAUACGUUCCCGGGCCUU
rnacentral:rRNA from 1 species